CUUUGGACUGCACGGCACUCCUUCUUUCUCCUCCUUUAGUGGCUGCACAAGGUGGUGAUGGUGGUGGGAAGGCACGGCAAGGGUGAAUUGUGGCAGAAAUAUGGGAGUUUGGGGGUGGAAGGUUGCGGCAAAGAGAGAACUAGGGUUUUUUGGCGUGAAUGAAUGUUAUGGGGGCUGAUAGAUUCGGCCAAGAGGUUUAAGAGAGUAUAUAUAGGCACUUAAAAACCCUAGCAAUCAGAUUAGGGUUUCUAGAAAC
rnacentral:lncRNA from 1 species